GCCCAUUCAAGUUGGCAGUAAGGAGAAAAAGAUCUACCAGGCAAGUGCCUGCAAGUCAUAGUACCUCAGGGAUUCCAAUCAACAUUUGCUUGCUGGUGAGUGGUUCUACUUCAAGUUAAGAAACAAAUUCUCAUGGCAAACUGCUUGGAUACUGUUUCCCAAAAGUUAGAAGAACCAAGCCUGCAAGGUGGCAUGGAUUCCUCCGGAAGGACUCCACCCAACUUUGGUCUCAGCAGGAUAGGGAAUCCUCGAGUCCUGGCAUGUCUUUUAUGUGCACUGUGGGAUUCAGCCCCAGGCCGGAGAUGGAGGGCUGACAAAAAUGAUUAUUGGGCGAAGCAAAAACCAUCUUUGUGAAAACAGCAGAACUGCAUGGAGAUUCUCAGCCUAUGACAACAAGCUGGACAAAGCUCUCCUUGAAGACAGGACCAUGUCUUAUUCAACUUUGUAAUCCCAGGACCUGGCACAAAAGCUGGCACCUAUUCAGUGCCUGUAAGUUACUGUUGAAUAAAUGAACAGAUGAAUGAAAGAAAUCA
rnacentral:lncRNA from 1 species